CACGUAGGGCGCAAGCGUUGUCCGGAAUUAUUGGGCGUAAAGAGCUCGUAGGUGGUUCGGUAAGUCGGAUGUGAAAUCUCCAGGCUCAACCUGGAGGGUCAUUCGAUACUGCCGUGACUAGAGUUCGGUAGGGGAGUGUGGAAUUCCUGGUGGAGCGGUGAAAUGCGCAGAGUAUCAGGAGGAACACCCGUAGCGAAGGCGGCACUCUGGGCCGAUACUGACGCUGAGGAGCGAAAGCGUGGGGAGCAAACAGG
rnacentral:rRNA from 1 species